rnacentral:lncRNA from 1 species
ACAGAAGCAAUUUAAGAUACACAAAAAAGGAUAUAAACACACUUGUUUUGUGUCAUUAGUUUUUAGUGAAAAUUCUUGAGUGGUUGUUUUGAAUGUGAGGAGAUUCUUGUGUUUUGGAGCGGAAGCUAGGAUCUUGAAGCUUAGCAUUUUUGAAAAAAACGAUUAAUUUUCUAAGGAUACGAAGUACGAUAACGCGUUCGUGUCAGAACUAAAGAAUGGAAGGAAAGCUAGCCGGUACGAGGAGCGAUGACGUGGUUGGAUCGAAGUCGCAACUUAGGAAAGAAUGUGGCUAAGGUAAGGGUAACUCAGUAUAGAAGUGUCCUUGAGUCUGCAUGCUUUAUUCGCACUGCUUGCGUUUGAGAUGAAUGUGUUUAUUUUGAUUGGCGUUUGAUUGAGAUAUUGGUAUGCUUGCAAUGUUGUAUACUUGCUUAUGUUGAAUGUUUGUUGAGGCUUAGGCCAUUGUUCGUUUCUUAAUGUUGAAUUGAUGAGUUAAUGUGCAUAAUUGAAUUCAUCUAUGCUCGUUGAAAAUAUGAAUAACAUGUGGUUACUUUGAAUGGAUUAUUGGUUUGGGAAUGAUUGUUGACUGACUUGGCAUAUAGGGAAAAUGGCAAUGAGGUGGGUAUGGUCCCGCGUGAUUGUCCCGUCUUUCGAGCGUUAUAAAGUGGCAAUGAGGUGGGUAUGGUCCCGCGUCAUUGUCCCGACUUUCGAGGCGUUACAAAGUGGCGAUGUGGUGGAUAUUGUCCCACGUGAUCGUCCUAUCUUUCGAGAUGUCCUAAAGUGGCAAUGUGGUGGUGAUUGUCCCACGUGAUUGUCCCGUCUUUCAUGGGCGUUAUUAAGUGACAUUCAGGAGUUUUCGUUCUCCGUCUGUCCCGUCUUUCAUGGGCGCUAUUAAUUGGUAGUUCAGGGGAGUCUGUUCCUCACUCUGACCCGUCUUGCAAGACAUUAUUGAUCGAUCCAUUUUGGUAGCAGCAUAUAGCCGCAUUUAAGGCACUAACAUCUGAUGUUAUGUUGUUCGAUGAUUCGUUAAUUAACCUGAUAUAAGUUGUUAGUUCAUUUAUCAUGUUUGAAUUUGAAUAACACGUUUUUCUCUUUUAUGUGAAGUAUUUGCAUGGAGUUAACCCUUUCUGUUUGCUACUUGUUGUUUGGGCGCUUAACGCUAUUAGGCGAUGGAGAGCCUCCGAUGGAGCUUAACCAUUGUACGAUUCAGAGAUGAGAACUUGAAGAAUACUGGAAGACUCGAAGAGUAGAGUCGGGUGUAAGGCUAGAGCCUUGGGUUAGAGAGCUUACCAUUAUCAAUUAAAGCUUGCAUAGAGAUUUUAUGGAUUUAUGUUUGAGGUUUCAGGUAGGUUCCGAUACGUUGCUUUCCUGCGUUUCCCUGAUGUGGAAAUUGUAGGGAGUAUGUCGGAUUUGUGAUGUCUUUGCAUAAUGGGUUCUUUGUUGAAUCUGAUUUUUUCUAGGGUUUGUAGGAUGUGUUUCUUUCGUCCUUACCUUCGGGUACUUCCCUUGUUAAAGGCUAGAUGUAAUUUGAUUACAGUUGGGAGUAGGCAUGACAUGUUUUGGAAAUACUUUGAGAAGAAAAAAAUAAUACUCGUGUUUAUAAAUCCUUUUGAAAAACAUUGCAUAUUUAUUUUAGCAGGUUACUAAGGUGACCCCCGAAAGUCGGAGCGUUACACAUCCCCGCCGCAGAAUGUGACAAUCGUUUU